CUGCGAAUGUCGGAUCCCAAGCUUACGGAACUCUAAGUUAAUCUUUAUGUGUUUAGACUCAAGUGGUGCUCGUCCUCCUUCAAGAACCUCCAAAUCCUUAAGUAAAAGGACAUUUUUCUUGUCCAGCUCAGAAUGCAGCCCCACCCAGAGGAAGUCCGUCUCUCCAGCUGCCAAGAAGAGCAGGCCACUGGCUCCAGAGGUUCGGAACCGUACAUGGAAAGAUGUCUGACUAGACAACUCAACUGUUUUCAAAUGCACAAAACCAUCUCCAUAGAAAGAAGCUGCAAAGUAAUUUGAAUUUGGGAUUUUAUAUAUAUAUAAAGUAAUUUGUGUUUUAUAAUAUGCUUAAUACAGCAUAUACAUAAACAUUACAUGUUUUUCACAUUUUGCACUUCACAACAGUAAGGGCAAAGGACACAUUCCUUAAAACAAAAUUUCAGAGGGUAAGAUGUUCUGAAAACAGAGGUCCAAAUAGCUAUAACUUUUGGUGUGAAACAUAUCUUGCUUUUUGAGAGAUACAACAUAAAUUAUUACACAAUUUCUUCCCCCUAACUCCAUCCAAUUUUGUCUGUCCUCAUAUGUGCGUGAAUUAUUCCUAUAUACUGUAUGUAUCUGAGUUAGAUGCUGCUUUUGUCCCCAAAAAAUUAAGAGUUGUAUCGGCCUCAACAGCUCUGUGACAGCUGCUGCUCUAUGCCUAAAGCAGUUUUGACUAAGUGCUGUUGUGUCUGCAGCCCUCUAAUGUGUUAUCAGAAUUCAAUUAAUGCAUUUUAAUGUGCUGAAUGCCUUUUAAGAGCACAAUAGUACAGCUUAAUUUCUAGAGCACUGUGUCAGAGGAGUCAAUAGGGAUUAGAACAAUGACUGAGGAACUGUUCUACUUCAAAAUGCUAACAAUACCAAGUUAGUAGGGGCGGGGAAUUAUAUGUAAUUAUUUGAUUUGUCCACCUAUGAGGAACAGAUUGCAAAAGUAUGUCCAGGUUACUGUAUAAACUAGUCCUGAGACACACAGUAGCAGCAAACAAUAAACACAUGAAGAAACAUCACGGAGAA